CAAAGAAUAGUUUAAGUAAAAUAAUAAUUUUGGAGAUUAUUGAUAAAGUAUUUCUUUUUCUUUGA
rnacentral:tRNA from 1 species